GGAGGAAAGCUAAUUUACUGGAAAAGAUAAUGGAAUGCAAGAUAACACAAUAAUAACAAAUAAUACAAUAUAAUUGCAAUUGAAGCUAAUAUAUCAAAUAAAAUGAGAGAGAGUGUCCAAAAACCGAAGGCCUUACUCUAACGCUGAGGGUAAGACAAGCACACAUGAUGCUGGGACAAGCAGAAAGGGAAGAGAAGAGAAACUCGUCUUGUGAUCUGUGGACAGUUUUAUCUUUUCCUCUGAAUGGAAAACAGAAAGAGAACAACACAAAGUCCUCUGGGGUAUGUAGCUCUUCUUCUCUUCUGAGAAUCAGGUACCUGGAACUAUCAAUGAUCCAAAAGAACUGGAACAUUAACUCUUUAACUCCCAUGUUUAAGAAUGUCUGAAUCAUUUGCCACCAUGCUUGAGUACCUUUUCUCCUGAAAGUAUUCACAAAAUUGACUUGGGGUAGAGUGGGGAAAUUACUUGUUUAUAUUAUUCUAUUUGCUUUUGAUGACUUAAAGGUAAAUACAUCAUAUGUCACAAAUGCAGAAAAUUGACUGCUGUCUUCUGCAAAUACUACUGAAAGUACAACAUCUAGAUACGUGUUAAUUGCAGGAGGUACUGGGGUGGAUAACAAUGAGAGUAAGAGGGGUUUUGACACUUUUUCUCUGAAUGCUUUCAUCAAAGUCCUGCUAAAUUAUUCUUAAGAAUUUUUAAGCUUUGAGUUUUUUAAAGGGUUUUGUUUGUUUGUUUGUUUGUUUGUUUGUUUGUUUUUUUUACUGUGGUGACUAUUAAAGAGGAGGAAGCUUCUGCAGCUGACCCUCCAUACGAGUCUGGCCAGGGCCCUGCUACUUAUGAAGUUAUGUCAUCUCUUUUAGAAAACCCCAGCAAAUGAAACUCCUUAAUCUUUUAGCAGUACUUUAGGCUUCAUGAUAUAAAAUAUAUGUAGUAGUAAAAUACUCUUAGGGAACUAAUUAUGAAAGUAAACUGUAUUUAUGUUCUAUUAACUAGUAAUCCAGAAGUGUUAAAGGUUUCAGACUGGCUUCUCUAUUAGCAGAAACUGUAACUUUGUUUUCUGAAAUAUAUAUAUAUAUAUAUAUUUAUCUUAGUUACUUUAUGUUAGGAACAGAAACUAUCUUGAUACAUGAAAAGCACUAUUUUCCACCUUCUACUUGGUUUGGAGAAUUUUGUGUUUUCUGAAUAUGAGACAUUGUUUAAUGUUGUUUAAGCUU
rnacentral:lncRNA from 1 species